rnacentral:rRNA from 1 species
GAUGAACGCUAGCGGCAGGCUUAAUACAUGCAAGUCGAGGGGCAGCAUGAGUGUAGCAAUACAUUUGAUGGCGACCGGCAAACGGGUGCGGAACACGUACACAACCUUCCUAUAAGUGGGGAAUAGCCCAGAGAAAUUUGGAUUAAUACCCCGUAACAUAAUGAUGUGGCAUCACAUUAUUAUUAUAGCUACGGCGCUCAUUGAUGGGUGUGCGGCUGAUUAGAUAGUUGGCGGGGUAACGGCCCACCAAGUCUACGAUCAGUAGCUGAUGUGAGGGCAUGAGCAGCCACACGGGAACUGAGACACGGGCCCGACUCCUACGGGAGGCAGCAGUAAGGAAUAUUGGUCAAUGGAGGCAAGUCUGAACCAGCCAUGCCGCGUGAAGGAUUAAGGUCCUCUGGAUUGUAAACUUCUUUUAUCUGGGACGAAAAAAGGCGAUUCUUCGUCACUUGACGGUACCAGAUGAAUAAGCACCGGCUAACUCCGUGCCAGCCGCCGCCGUAAAAC